UACGUAGGGGGCGAGCGUUGUCCGGAUUUAUUGGGCGUAAAGAGCUCGUAGGCGGUUGUUCGAGUCGGGUGUGAAAUCCUGAGGCUUAACCUUGGGUCUGCAUUCGAUACUGGGCGGCUUGAGUCUGGUAGGGGGAUCUGGAAUUCCUGGUGUAGCGGUGGAAUGCGCAGAUAUCAGGAGGAACACCAAUGGCGAAGGCAGCUCGCUGGGACGAGACUGACGCUGAGACGCGAAAGCGUGGGGAGCAAACAGG
rnacentral:rRNA from 1 species